rnacentral:rRNA from 1 species
GACGAACGCUGGCGGCGUGCCUAAUACAUGCAAGUAGAACGCACAGUUUAUACCGUAGCUUGCUACACCAUAGACUGUGAGUUGCGAACGGGUGAGUAACGCGUAGGUAACCUGCCUGGUAGCGGGGGAUAACUAUUGGAAACGAUAGCUAAUACCGCAUAAUAUUGAUUAUUGCAUGAUAAUUAAUUGAAAGGUGCAAUUGCACCACUACCAGAUGGACCUGCGUUGUAUUAGCUAGUAGGUGAGGUAACGGCUCACCUAGGCGACGAUACAUAGCCGACCUGAGAGGGUGAUCGGCCACACUGGGACUGAGACACGGCCCAGACUCCUACGGGAGGCAGCAGUAGGGAAUCUUCGGCAAUGGACGAAAGGCUGACCGAGCAACGCCGCGUGAGUGAAGAAGGUUUUCGGAUCGUAAAGCUCUGUUGUAAGAGAAGAACGGGUGUGAGAGUGGAAAGUUCACACUGUGACGGUAUCUGACCAGAAAGGGACGGCUAACUACGUG